rnacentral:rRNA from 1 species
UACGAAGGGGGCUAGCGUUGCUCGGAAUCACUGGGCGUAAAGCGCACGUAGGCGGAUUUCUAAGUCAGGGGUGAAAUCCUGGAGCUCAACUCCAGAACUGCCUUUGAUACCGGGAAUCUCGAGUCCGGGAGAGGUGAGUGGAACUGCGAGUGUAGAGGUGAAAUUCGUAGAUAUUCGCAAGAACACCAGUGGCGAAGGCGGCUCACUGGCCCGGUACUGACGCUGAGGUGCGAAAGCGUGGGGAGCAAACAGG